rnacentral:rRNA from 1 species
CUUAGAAGUGAGAAUGCCGGUGUGAGUAGCGAAAGACGGGUGAGAAUCCCGUCCACCGAUUGACUAAGGUUUCCAGAGGAAGGCUCGUCCGCUCUGGGUUAGUCGGGUCCUAAGCUGAGGCCGACAGGCGUAGGCGAUGGAUAACAGGUUGAUAUUCCUGUACCACCUAGUAUCGUUUUAAUCGAUGGGGGGACGCAGUAGGAUAGGCGAAGCGUGCUGUUGGAGUGCACGUCCAAGCAGUAAGGCUGAGUGUUAGGCAAAUCCGGCACUCAUAAGGCUGAGCUGUGAUGGGGAGAGGAAAUUGUUUCCUCGAGUCGUUGAUUUCACACUGCCGAGAAAAGCCUCUAGAUAGAUAACAGGUGCCCGUACCGCAAACCGACACAGGUAGUCAAGAUGAGAAUUCUAAGGUGAGCGAGCGAACUCUCGUUAAGGAACUCGGCAAAAUGACCCCGUAACUUCGGGAGAAGGGGUGCUCUUUAGGGUUCACGCCCAGAAGAGCCGCAGUGAAUAGGCCCAAGCGACUGUUUAUCAAAAACACAGGUCUCUGCUAAACCGUAAGGUGAUGUAUAGGGGCUGACGCCUGCCCGGUGCUGGAAGGUUAAGAGGAGUGGUUAGCUUCUGCGAAGCUACGAAUCGAAGCCCCAGUAAACGGCGGCCGUAACUAUAACGGUCCUAAGGUAGCGAAAUUCCUUGUCGGGUAAGUUCCGACCCGCACGAAAGGCGUAACGAUUUGGGCACUGUCUCAACGAGAGACUCGGUGAAAUCAUAGUACCUGUGAAGAUGCAGGUUACCCGCGACAGGACGGAAAGACCCCGUGGAGCUUUACUGUAGCCUGAUAUUGAAAUUCGGCACAGCUUGUACAGGAUAGGUAGGAGCCUUUGAAACGUG